rnacentral:sRNA from 2 species
AGUGACCGGCAGAGAACGGCAUUGCGAAAGACAAAUGGCUCCCUGGUUAUGGAACGAUUCGGUUAUGUCCGAACGGGCCGAUAUGUCUAGACAUUUGCUUGGCCUUGCCUUUCUUUUCACUUCCUAUGCAGAACAUCUUUGGUCCGUCCGACCACCAUCCACAGGUCAGCAAUUUUCUGUAUUCGACAUGCGCCAAUUUGUAUAGAGGAUUGGAGUUCGGCACAGCAACAGCGUCACUACGAAGAGCCAAGUAAGUGGGGUCCUGUCUUGGGGAAGACGAGCAUAAGAUCUUUCCCUUGAGUAGUAGGAGAGAAAUGUUUCUUGCAUGCGACACUUCUUCUCACGAAUCUCAGUUGCAGCCUCGACUGCUUUACUGCAGAUGGGGAUUGUGUCGGCAAGGAUUAUCCUUAUCUCAAGAUGCAACCCAGCUGCCACAGCCUUACCAAUGUUUGGCCAACAUUAAGAUGGCGGGGUUAAACUUUUCAUGCUGGAUUAUCACCGAGUAUUUUAGUGCAGCCAGUCUCCGCAGAACUGCGGCCACUCCCCCUCCUAUCAACACGCGAGGAAGAGGA